GACGAACGCUGGCGGCGUGCUUAACACAUGCAAGUCGAACGGAAAGGCCCUGCUUUUGUGGGGUGCUCGAGUGGCGAACGGGUGAGUAACACGUGAGUGACCUGCCCUUGACUUUGGGAUAACUUCAGGAAACUGGGGCUAAUACCGGAUAGGAGCUCCUGCUGCAUGGUGGGGGUUGGAAAGUUUCGGCGGUUGGGGAUGGACUCGCGGCUUAUCAGCUUGUUGGUGGGGUAGUGGCUUACCAAGGCUUUGACGGGUAGCCGGCCUGAGAGGGUGACCGGCCACAUUGGGACUGAGAUACGGCCCAGACUCCUACGGGAGGCAGCAGUGGGGAAUAUUGCACAAUGGGCGGAAGCCUGAUGCAGCAACACCGCGUGCGGGAUGACGGCCUUCGGGUUGUAAACCGCUUUCGCCUGUGACGAAGCGUGAGUGACGGUAAUGGGUAAAGAAGCACCGGCUAACUACGUG
rnacentral:rRNA from 1 species